rnacentral:rRNA from 1 species
GCCCUACGGGGCGCAGCAGUGGGGAAUAUUGCACAAUGGGGGGAACCCUGAUGCAGCAAUGCCGCGUGGGUGAAGAAGCACUCCGGUGCGUAAAGCCCUGUCAGCAGGGAAGAAAAUGACAGUACCUGACCAAGAAGCCCCGGCUAACUACGUGCCAGCAGCCGCGGUAAUACAUAGGGGGCAAGCGUUAUCCGGAAUUAUUGGGUGUAAAGGGUGCGUAGACGGAAGAACAAGUUGGUUGUGAAAUCCCUCGGCUCAACUGAGGAACUGCAACCAAAACUAUUCUCCUUGAGUGUCGGAGAGGA